AGAGUUUGAUCCUGGCUCAGAGCGAACGCUGGCGGCGUGCUUAACACAUGCAAGUCGAGUGCGCGUCCGUAGCAAUACGGAUGGCGCACGGCGCACGGGUGCGUAACACGUGGGCAAUCUGCCCUCGGAUGGGGGAUAACCCCGCGAAAGCGGGGCUAAUACCGCAUGACAUUCCGGAGACCUCGGUCUCUGGAUUCAAAGGCCGCAAGGCCGUCUGAGGAGGAGCCCGCGCCCGAUUAGCUAGUUGGUGAGGUAACGGCUCACCAAGGCUUUGAUCGGUAGCCGGUCUGAGAGGAUGACCGGCCACACUGGAACUGAGACACGGUCCAGACUCCUACGGGAGGCAGCAGUGGGGAAUAUUGCGCAAUGGGCGAAAGCCUGACGUAGCGACGCCGCGUGGGGGAUGAAGCUUCUCGGAGUGUAAACCCCUUUCGACCCGGACGAAUGACCCGCAAGGGUUUGACGGUACGGGUAUAAGAAGCCCCGGCUAACUACGUGCCAGCAGCCGCGGUAAUACGUAGGGGGCCAGCGUUGCUCGGAAUUACUGGGCGUAAAGGGUCCGUAGGUGGUGCGGCAAGUUGGGAGUGAAAUCUCUGGGCUUAACUCAGAGGCUGCUUUCAAAACUGCCGUGCUCGAGUGCGAGAGAGGUCAGUGGAAUUGCAGGUGUAGCGGUGAAAUGCGUAGAUAUCUGCAGGAACACCCGUGGCGAAGGCGGCUGACUGGAUCGCAACUGACACUGAGGAACGAAAGCUAGGGGAGCAAACAGGAUUAGAUACCCUGGUAGUCCUAGCCCUAAACCAUCGGAACUUGUGGG
rnacentral:rRNA from 1 species